CAAACAUUACAUCAUGUCAUUCCACACAUAUAACUUAAAACAAUUUGACUCCCGUCUCCCAAUUCCUUUUAUAGCCUCUGCUCCAAAACCUAAGUUUGCCGCUUCAGAUGCUACCCCAAUACUGAAGGAAUGAGUAGCCAAUUCUCCUUUGCAACCAAGUCUUUUCAAAACAUCACUGAAAAACAUUCGGAAAAUUGAGAACGUGUUAG